CUGUACACAGGUCCUGCCCUUCCCAAGUCAUUGGUGAAGAAGUUCAGGCUUCCUUUUCUGAAGGAUUUCAUCUGAGGGAAGCUUGACAUCUGAAGGCCGUAACAUCUCCACACUAGGGUCAACUGUCCUCAUUUACUCUCUGGAGCCCAGAAUUCUAAGAAUAAAGAAUCUGCCUAGUGUGGUGGAACAGCGUCUGGACCACAAACACAAACCAAACAUCAAAACAUGCUUUUUCUGAUUCCUGAUCCAGGACUUGGGUCACUGGACACAGACUUGGGGACAGACCCCUGAUUGGUCCAGAAAUAGGAAAGAAAGUAAGCCAAGCCAAUCGGAAUUCUUCCCUAGUAUUCUUUUCCCUUUAGUGAGAGAGAAUACUUGCUCUUCUCCUUGCUCCCUGCCUUUGGAUUUGAAGUAAUGAGGAUUCGAGUUCAAAGCGCCUUUGUUCAUCUCCUACUCCACAGGAGAAGCUGCCUGGAGAGGAUGGAGCAGAUCUACAGAUCUGCCCCACAAUUUGACUACAGACAACAUCAAAUUAACCCCUCUCUCCUUGAACUUCAGAUUCCGUUACUGGC